rnacentral:rRNA from 1 species
UUGGAGGGCAAGUCUGGUGCCAGCAGCCGCGGUAAUUCCAGCUCCAAUAGCGUAUAUUAAAGUUGUUGCAGUUAAAAAGCUCGUAGUUGAAUUUCGGGAUUAGUACGCUGGUCGUGCCUUCGGUACGUACUGGUGUUACUGAUUUCUACCUUCUGACGAACCAUCAUGUCAUUAAUUUGGUGUGGUGGGGAAUCAGGACUGUUACUUUGAAAAAAUUAGAGUGUUUAAAGCAGGCUCGCGCUUGAAUACAUUAGCAUGGAAUAAUGAAAUAGGACGUUGAUCCUAUUUUGUUGGUUUCUAGGAUUGACGUAAUGAUUAAUAGGGAUAGUUGGGGGCAUUAGUAUUCAAUUGUCAGAGGUGAAAUUCUUGGAUUUAUUGAAGACUAACUACUGCGAAAGCAUUUGCCAAGGAUGUUUUCAUUAAUCAAGAACGAAGGUUAGGGGAUCGAAGACGAUCAGAUACCGUCGUAGUCUUAACCAUAAACUAUGCCGACUAGGGAUCGGAUGAUGUUAUUUUUAAUGACUCGUUCGGCGCCUUACGGGAAAC